CUUGGUGGGGCCCACUCUGCACCAGGGGUAGAGGGAGACCCCUGGGGAGCAAGGUGCUCUGACAGAGUCCUUUGUGUGUGGUCCUGAGCAACUAUAACAGGGCUGUGAGGGAGCACUCACCCCCGAGGUUGGGAAGCAAAGGACCCCAUUCUCAAAGCCCUGUCACCUAGAAGGUCUGGGGACUCGGGUUCCCUGGACACCGGCAUUGGGGAAGGGGGGAGACGGAUCAGCCAUCACAAGUGGGUUGAAAUUUCUGAUGCUUGUACAGUGGUGUGUGUGUGUGUGUGUGUGUGUGUGUGUGGUCCUUGGUUGAAGAUUUUGACACUCGGAUGGGGUGAGGAAGAGGUCUGGAGGCAGGGGUGGCUGAAGCUUGAAACUAUAGGAAAACCUGCAGGCUUUCACGUCUCCAGGUUUUCCUUCUGGUCCCAGGGCGGGCAGAGGGCAGGACCGGCCCCCCUCCCACCCCCCACCCCGGUCUGCACGGGGGCAAGUGCUUGUGAAUGGAAGCCGGAGGAAGCCCAAAGCAGCCUGGGAAAGGAAGGUGAUGCCCUCCCGACUCCCUGGUGGGCAGUAGCUUUAUUCUUACUCUGGGCUUGGGGGCGAGGGCAGGGCAGAGAGGAGAAGGCGAGGCGGAGCAGGUGUGAGGGGGAGGGCCUCAGUGAUUUUUCCCAGCAUCCUCUAGGCCACUUCUCUCACUACAAACCUCAGUCUCAAGCCACUUGGUUGUCAUGGAAACAGGCGGAAUAGAACAGAUGGUCUCCACUAGCCAAAUUCCAAUUAAACCGGGCAGAGAUGGAUGGAGAAAGGGGUGUAUGCGACUAGGCCACAGAGGGCUCUGUCCCCCAACCCAGGCUGCCCGCCCUGGGCUCCCCGAGGAUGGACAGGAAGCCCCCGAUCCCUUCCGGCAGAUCAGGGACUGGGGUCAGAAGGACGUUCUGGGAGGUCUCAAGGAACUGUUCCGGCACCCAUCGGGUGGGAUAGCACCAAGGAUCCGGAUGGAGGAGGAGGCCUGGAAACCCACACGGCCCAACAGCAAGUUUUCUAGCAGUUGGAGAUGAAAAUGUCGCCCCAAAGCCCAAGCUCAAGGACGCGUGGCCCCCUCUCCCCCUCACCCUGAACCUCCAAUCCUGUUUCCACUUGGGGAGUCACCUGGUCUUCAAGUGCCCCCUGAGGCACAUUAGCCUUUUAAUAAAGCCUUGAACCUCUGUUUGA